GAUGAAGAACGUAGUGAAAUGCGAUAAGUAAUGUGAAUUGCAGAAUUCAGUGAAUCAUCGAAUCUUUGAACGCACAUUGCGCCCCCUGGUAUUCCGGGGGGCAUGCCUGUUCGAGCGUCAUUUCAACCUUCAAGCUCUGCUUGGUAUUGGGCCUGCGCUGGUCUCCCAGCGGGCCUCAAAAUCAGUGGCGGUGCCAUCUGGCUUCAAGCGUAGUAACACAUCUCGCUUCCGGAGACCCAGGUGUUUGCCUGCCAGCAACCCCAUCUUCUCAGGUUGACCUCGGAUCAGGUAGGGCUACCCGCUGAACUUAAGCAUAUCAAUAAGCGGAGGA
rnacentral:misc_RNA from 1 species